rnacentral:rRNA from 1 species
GACAGAGGUGCCAAGCGUUAGGCGGAAUCACUGGGCUUAAAGCGUGUGUAGGCGGAUAUCUAAGUACCUUGUGAAAUCCCACGGCUCAACCGUGGAACUGCUUGGUAUACUGGGUGUCUUGAGCCAUCUAGGGGCUACCGGAACAAAUGGUGGAGCGGUGAAAUGCGUAGAUAUCAUCAGGAACUCCGGUGGCGAAGGCGGCACGCUGGACCUCUUCUGACGCUGAGGCGCGAAAGCCAGGGGAGCAAACGGG